CCUACGGGAGGCAGCAGUGAGGAAUAUUGGUCAAUGGCCGAGAGUCUGAACCAGCCAAGUAGCGUGAGGGAUGAAUGCCCUAUGGAUUGUAAACUUCUUUUGUAUGGGAGUAAAGUGUUCCACGUGUGGGCUUUUGUGUGUACCUUAUGAAUAAGGAUCGGCUAACUCCGUGCCAGCAGCCGCGGUAAUACGGAGGAUCCGAGCGUUAUCCGGAUUUAUUGGGUUUAAAGGGAGCGUAGGUGGAUUGUUAAGUCAGUUGUGAAAGUUGGGGGCUCAAACGUAAACUGGCAGUUGAAACUGGUAGUCUUGAGUACAGGAGAGGUGGGCGGAAUGCGUGGUGUAGCGGUGAAAUGCUUAGAUAUCACGAAGAACUCCGAUUGCGAAGGCAGCAUACCGGAGCGCAACUGACACUGAGGCUCGAAAGUGUGGGUAUCAAACAGGAUUAGAUACCCUGGUAGUC
rnacentral:rRNA from 1 species